GUCCUCCUCGCAGCAGCCGCCGACCUGCUUCAGCGCGACGCCGCCCUCCUCGAACGCGCCGGCGGCGGCGGCGCCCUCCGUACAUGCUGCCCUCCGUGUCGCUUGCCGGCGCUGUCCUCGCAGCAGCCUCCGCUGGAGCUCUGGUCCACCCUACAAAUACAACAGUGAAAGCAAAAAAACUGAGAUUGUAGAGUGCAAACUUGAGACUGCACACAAAUGAUGCAUCGAAAUCAUUAAAGCUAUCUCUCUAAAAAAAUCAUAAAAGCUAAUUGAAAAACAUGCAGGUCCAUCAAAUUCAUAACGAGAAACAACUUCAGCUGGACCAGCCACCAGGCCGACAGCACCACAUGUCCAUCUCAAAUGUUGGCUUGCUUCACUGUGAACUCCAUUGUCGUCGGUUGCUGCUUUGCGCUCUUCCCUGGGAUCAACAAGGUCUUGCAUUUGGGAUGUUGCCUUGCUUCAAUAUUGUCUGCACCGUGACAUGUGGCUCCUCCGUGCUCUUCCCCGGUGUCCACACACACGACAUCGUUUGGACCUGAAUAACAAGUAAAUUAAUGAAGAGCGUCAUGCUUUUAGUAAUACGUACAAUCCUUUCAGGCAAAAAAGACUAAUGUAGAGUUCAUAAAGGCCUUCACGGGAUAUGAGUAAUUAAUUACAAUUUUAAUAUUCAUACAAUUUUAUUUUGCGUAUGGAUCUUAUUUUCGUCUCGUGUGUUUGUUUAUAGGCAUGGUUAGAACUGCUACCCCUCAGUUUCUGUUUAUGGUCUACCUCUAGUCUUGUAUUUGCAGUGCUGCUGUUCUUCAUUAUUGCAAGUUGAAUAUUCUUACACUUACGUUUUUUAUUUGAACCACAUCUUCAUCUCGUAUGUUUAUUGUACUAGCGUUAUUCCAAGCCACUGAAGUGCUACCCCCCAGUUUAUGUUCACGAUCUACCUCUGGUCUUGUAUUUGGGGUAUUGGCUUGCUUCAGCAUGAACUCCAUUGUUGUCGGUUGCUGCCUUGUACUCUUCCCUGGGAUCAACAUGGUCUUGUAUUUGGGAUGUUGGCUUGCUUCACUAUUAUUUGCGUCGUGACUGGUGGCUGUUCCAUGCUCUUCCACGAUGUCCACGCAGGUGACAUAGUUUUGUUCACCAGGUACCUCUGGUCUUGUAUCUGGGGUGUUGACUUGCUUCAUCAUUAUCUGUGUGGUUGCCGGUUGCUGCUCCAUGCUUUUCCCCAUUGUACACGUGCUAGGAAUUGAUGGGAUCUGAAUGACAAGACACUAUAUUCAUCGAAGUAAAUGGAUAGGUCGGCUAGUUAUGCUCUUCAGGAAUCGGUACUCCAGCUCCAGGUGCAAACACCAGGUCUUCCCCAACUUGUUUGGUUAUAGGUAAAUAGAGAGAGAGAGAGAGUGCCAUAAAUCACCUAUUUGGUUAAUGGGAGUGCGAGCUGAGAGAUUGAGCAUGUUAGUAGAGAGUCCAACUCUGAUCACUUUAUUAACUCAGGGAGAGAUGGGGAUUAGGAUGAAAUUGUUUGCUAGAGAUGAUCUUAGCCCUUCAUCACAACUUAUGUUAUCCUCUCUAAGAUAAUUAAUUCGUCUCGAACUCCUGCCAACUAAACAAGGAAAGAGACUCUCCUCACCAAAUCCUACAUGUAUCUCUUAUAACACACCAAACAAGAUAUUAUGAGUAAAACUCAAUUUGCCAUGUCUAACCCCACUAUAAACUCCCUUUCUCCCUCUCUGACCUAGCGAAACACCUUAUAGGAUCACUCUUUCAGUGUGAAAACACCUGAUUCAAUGUUAGGUUGUUGGAUUCGGCAAUGGCAAUAUAUGUGACUAUUCUAAAUUUCUGAGUGUCUUCAGCUAUGGCUAGGGUUAACGUUUGAAGCGUUUGAAGUGAAAGACCUCUGUUGUGUGCCAAUGUUUUCUUUUUGUAGUAAUUGGCCAAGUCCAACCAGACUGGAUGGCCAGAGAUGCCACAGGACGAGAUCCGACGGUGCAAAUCACUGGGUUAAUGAGAGACGAACCACAUGAAGUUUCGUUGUCUCUAAUUUGGCUUUUUUCAUCCAUGCUGCCUAGGUAGGCUCUUGCCAUCGUGUUGUUGCAUAGGCAGAAUGUAUUUUGUAUGGUCGUCAAAUAUUGAUGCAUUAAUAUAAUUUUCAUUGCAAAUGUCUUUUUUGUUGAAAUUGUAAUGAGGUGUAAUAGAAAUCUUCUGAACAAGUUGGGUUAGUUCAUUGAGUUGAAAAUUGUUCGGUUUAGUAGAAGACAAAACCGUUACU